UUGAGCUAAUACCGAAUGUGCCCUUCGGGGGAAAGAUUUAUCGCCAUUGGAGCGGCCCGCGUCUGAUUAGCUAGUUGGUGAGGUAAAGGCUCACCAAGGCUACGAUCAGUAGCUGGUCUGAGAGGAUGAUCAGCCACACUGGGACUGAGACACGGCCCAGACUCCUACGGGAGGCAGCAGUUAGGAAUCUUGCGCAAUGGGCGAAAGCCUGACGCAGCCAUGCCGCGUGAAUGAUGAAGGUCUUAGGAUUGUAAAAUUCUUUCAGCGGGGACGAUAAUGACGGUACCCGCAGAAGAAGCUCCGGCUAACUUCGUGCCAGCAGCCGCGGUAAUACGAAGGGGGCUAGCGUUGCUCGGAAUUACUGGGCGUAAAGGGCGCGUAGGCGGACAGCUAAGUCAGAGGUGAAAGCCCAGGGCUCAACCUUGGAACUGCCUUUGAUACUGGCUGUCUAGAGUGCGGGAGAGGUGUGUGGAACUCCGAGUGUAGAGGUGAAAUUCGUAGAUAUUCGGAAGAACACCAGUGGCGAAGGCGACACA
rnacentral:rRNA from 1 species